rnacentral:rRNA from 1 species
AUUGAACGCUGGCGGCAUGCCUUACACAUGCAAGUCGAACGGUAACGGGCCUUCGGGUGCCGCCGAGUGGCGAACGGGUGAGUAAUACAUCGGAACGUGCCCGAUCGUGGGGGAUAACGAGGCGAAAGCUUUGCUAAUACCGCAUACGAUCUACGGAUGAAAGCAGGGGACCGCAAGGCCUUGCGCGGACGGAGCGGCCGAUGGCAGAUUAGGUAGUUGGUGGGAUAAAAGCUUACCAAGCCGACGAUCUGUAGCUGGUCUGAGAGGAUGAGCAGCCACACUGGGACUGAGACACGGCCCAGACUCCUACGGGAGGCAGCAGUGGGGAAUUUUGGACAAUGGGCGCAAGCCUGAUCCAGCCAUGCCGCGUGCAGGAUGAAGGCCUUCGGGUUGUAAACUGCUUGUGUACGGAACGAAAAGCCUUCUUUUAAUACAGGAGGGUCAUGACGGUACCGUAAGAAUAAGCACCGGCUAACUACGUG